GUGGCAAUGGCUGCUCUGGAGGAGGCUUCAAAGAAGAUUUUCCUAGCAGUAAAGCAUGAUGGGAGGAUAUCUAUAGUAAAUGGACAUUGUCGAGAAAACUUGACUAGAAAUGGGGUCCAUGCAAAUUACAACAGUGAGGAUGAACAAAGAAGUCUCGCAUGUCCACUUUCUGAGGAUGACAUGGAUACAAAGAUCCAAGAGCUUUCUUAUCAACUGGAUUGUGCCACUCAGAAAUGUGAAGUUUAUCGUGCAAAUCUUUACUCAGUUUUGAAGGAUAUAGAUGACCAUAAGCAACAACUAUCAAUUAAUGUCCAAAGGAUUAAGCAUAGCUUGAAGGAUGACCUCUGAAUUUCUCCUGUUGUGGUAUAUGUUCU
rnacentral:misc_RNA from 1 species